rnacentral:rRNA from 1 species
CUGCUAUCGGGGUUCGAUUAAGCCAUGCGAGUCGAGAGGUGCUACAAGACCUCGGCGCGCUCAGUAACACGUGGAUAACCUACCCUCAGGUGGGGGAUAACCCCGGGAAACUGGGGAUAAUACCCCAUAGACCAGGGACGCUGGAAUGCCCCCUGAUCGAAAGGUCCGCCGCCUGAGGAUGGGUCUGCGGCCGAUUAGGUUGUUGUUGGGGUAACGGCCCAACAAUUUGAUCGGUACGGGUUGUGAGAGCAAGAGCCCGGAGAUGGAUUCUGAGACACAAAUCCAGGCCCUACGGGGCGCAGCAGGCGCGAAAACCUUUACAAUGCGAGAAAUCGUGAUAAGGGAACCCCGAGUGCCCGUAAAUUCGGGCUGUCCAUCAGCGUAAAAAACUGGUGAAGAAAGGGCCGGGCAAGACCGGUGCCAGCCGCCGCGGUAAUACCGGCGGCUCGAGUGGUGGCCACUAUUACUGGGCUUAAAGCGUCCGUAGCUGGAUUGUUAAGUCUCUUGGGAAAUCCGCCGGCUUAACCGGCGGGCGUUCAGGAGAAACUGGCAAUCUAGGGACCGGGAGAGGUGAGAGGUACUCCAGGGGUAGGAGUGAAAUCCUGUAAUCCUUGGGGGACCACCUGUGGC